rnacentral:pre_miRNA from 1 species
UUUAUACUCCCUCCGUCCAACAAAAGAUGUCUCAACUUUGAUUAAAUUUGAAUGCAUUUAUAUACUAAGUCAUGUCUAGAUAUAUCCAAAUUUUAAUAAAUUUGAGACAUCCUUUGUUGGACGGAGGAAGUAAAUU